rnacentral:rRNA from 1 species
AAAUUGAAGAGUUUGAUCCUGGCUCAGAUUGAACGCUGGCGGCAGGCCUAACACAUGCAAGUCGAACGGUAACAGGAAGCAGCUUGCUCGUUUGCUGACGAGUGGCGGACGGGUGAGUAAUGUCUGGGAAACUGCCUGAUGGAGGGGGAUAACUACUGGAAACGGUGGCUAAUACCGCAUAACGUCGCAAGACCAAAGAGGGGGACGUUCGGGCCUCUUGCCAUCAGAUGUGCCCAGAUGGGAUUAGCUAGUUGGUGAGGUAACGGCUCACCAAGGCGACGAUCCCUAGCUGGUCUGAGAGGAUGACCAGCCACACUGGAACUGAGACACGGUCCAGACUCGUACGGGAGGCAGCAGUGGGGAAUAUUGCACAAUGGGGGCAAGCCUGAUGCAGCCAUGCCGCGUGUAUGAAGAAGGCCUUCGGGUUGUAAAGUACUUUCAGCGGGGAGGAAGGUGUUGUGGUUAAUAACCGCAGCACAUUGACGUUACCCGCAGAAGAAGCACCGGCUAACUCCGUGCCAGCAGCCGCGGUAAUACGGAGGGUGCAAGCGUUAAUCGGAAUUACUGGGCGUAAAGCGCACGCAGGCGGUCUGUCAAGUCGGAUGUGAAAUCCCCGGGCUCAACCUGGGAACUGCAUUCGAAACUGGCAGGCUUGAGUCUUGUAGAGGGGGGUAGAAUUCCAGGUGUAGCGGUGAAAUGCGUAGAGAUCUGGAGGAAUACCGGUGGGGCGAAGGCGGCCCCCUGGACAAAGACUGACGCUCAGGUGCGAAAGCGUGGGGAGCAAACAGGAUUAGAUACCCUGGUAGUCCACGCCGUAAACGAUGUCUACUUGGAGGUUGUGCCCUUGAGAGCGUGGCUUCCGGAGCUAACGCGUUAAGUAGACCGCCUGGGGAGUACGGCCGCAAGCUUAAAACUCAAAUGAAUUGACGGGGGCCCGCACAAGCCGUGGAGCAUGUGGUUUAAUUCGAUGCAACGCGAAGAACCUUACCUGGUCUUGACAUCCACAGAACUUUCCAGAGAUGGACUGGUGCCUUCGGGAACUGUGAGACAGGUGCUGCAUGGCUGUCGUCAGCUCGUGUUGUGAAAUGUUGGGUUAAGUCCCGCAACGAGCGCAACCCUUUAUCUUUGUUGCCAGCGGUCCGGCCGGGAACUCAAAGGAGACUGCCAGUGAUAAACUGGAGGAAGGUGGGGAUGACGUCA